AACGAACGCUGGCGGCAGGCCUAACACAUGCAAGUCGAGCGCCCCGCAAGGGGAGCGGCGGCGGGUGAGUAACGCGUGGGAACGUACCCUUUGCUACGGAAUAGCCUCGGGAAACUGGGAGUAAUACCGUAUGUGCCCUUCGGGGGAAAGAUUUAUCGGCAAAGGAUCGGCCCGCGUUGGAUUAGGUAGUUGGUGGGGUAAUGGCCUACCAAGCCGACGAUCCAUAGCUGGUUUGAGAGGAUGAUCAGCCACACUGGGACUGAGACACGGCCCAGACUCCUACGGGAGGUAGCAGUGGGGAAUCUUAGACAAUGGGCGCAAGCCUGAUCUAGCCAUGCCGCGUGAGCGAUGAAGGCCUUAGGGUUGUAAAGCUCUUUCAGUGGGGAAGAUAAUGACUGUACCCACAGAAGAAGCCCCGGCUAACUCCGUGCCAGCAGCCGCGGUAAUGUAGACGUC
rnacentral:rRNA from 1 species